rnacentral:rRNA from 1 species
UACGAAGGGGGCUAGCGUUGCUCGGAAUCACUGGGCGUAAAGCGCACGUAGGCGGGUCCUUAAGUCAGGGGUGAAAUCCCGGAGCUCAACUCCGGAACUGCCUUUGAUACUGGAGAUCUUGAGUCCGGGAGAGGUGAGUGGAACUCCGAGUGUAGAGGUGAAAUUCGUAGAUAUUCGGAAGAACACCAGUGGCGAAGGCGGCUACCUGGACCAGCACUGACACUGAGGCACGAAAGCGUGGGGAGCAAACAGG